CGGGGUAUAGCUCAGUGGUAGAGCAUUCGAUCAGAUCGAGAGGUCCCUGUUCAAACCUUCCGGGUGCCCCUU